rnacentral:rRNA from 1 species
CACGUAGGGCGCGAGCGUUGUCCGGAAUUAUUGGGCGUAAAGAGCUCGUAGGCGGCCUGUUGCGUCCGCUGUGAAAGCCCGGGGCUUAACCCCGGGUCUGCAGUGGAUACGGGCAGGCUAGAGGUAGGUAGGGGAGAAUGGAAUUCCCGGUGUAGCGGUGAAAUGCGCAGAUAUCGGGAAGAACACCCGUGGCGAAGGCGGCUCUCUGGGACGGUACUGACGCUGAGACGCGAAAGCGUGGGGAGCAAACAGG